UCUGGGGGGGUAGUGCUUUUGUGACAACAAUUUUGUGCCACCCCCCUAAAUGUGGAGUUUGAAAUUAUUUUUACAUAACUAAUUUUUGCUAUCAUUCUUUUUUUUACAUCCAUUAUUAGACAGUGGCAGAUGAUGAUUAAUGAACAUGGUGUUCCUGCAAUGCAGUGAAUAAAACGAUAUGACAACGUCUAAUGUAGCUGGCCCCUCUAACAGUACAACUGGCCCAGCUUGGCCCCCCCAGUUGAAAUGGUCUAGAACCACCACUAGUAGGAUCUUCCACAGCCCAGAGGUGCAGAAAUCGUACUGCCAGAGGAGUUGGGGAGAUCAGAAUGGGCAUUCUGUUUCAUGUUGGUAUUGUCAAGUGCUAGCCCGUCUCCAGAUCCAACCUGACACCAGGGUUGUGUUCAUUGGGCACCAAAUGGAAGAACAUCAACUGAAAUGCGAAGAGAGAGAGAGGAGGAGGAGGAUGAGAGGAAGAGGAGGAGAGCACUGAAGACGUCUGCUUACAAUUGCUGUCUCGACUCCCUCACGCAACCAGCCGACCCUCAUCCCGAACACGAAACAACGAGCCUCUGGACUGGACUCGCAAGGGCGCCCCCACUGGUUGUAGUAGGUGGAACAGAAUUCCCCCAUUUCUUUGGACUGAACUGCUUUAGUAUGGUAACAUUGACUGGGAGUUUUCUAACAGCCUUGAUGUGUUUUGUUAAGAGUAACUUCUGCUGUUUAGCUAACAGGCUCAUUUCUUGGUUAAAUCUGGGAUUGUAAAUUCUGUUUACGCUGAUUAGCUGCUGCAGUUUUUUUUUCUUUCUUGGGCUCCGUGACAAACGGGCACGACUACUUGUUUCGGGCCCUUACUUCCCGUCGUUUUUGUGCAAUACCGCCCUAGUUUUCCCGCGGCCUUGUGUGAAUACAUUCUCUUGUCAGCUGACCUCAAUGUAAGUUUUAUAUUUAGUAUGGUAACAUAGGAAACAACCAAUCAUUUUAAGCCAUUGUUGUAAAAGCCAAACCUGUAAUAAAGAA